rnacentral:rRNA from 1 species
UACGAAGGGGGCUAGCGUUGUUCGGAUUUACUGGGCGUAAAGCGCACGUAGGCGGACUAUUAAGUCAGGGGUGAAAUCCCGGGGCUCAACCCCGGAACUGCCUUUGAUACUGGUAGUCUUGAGUUCGAGAGAGGUGAGUGGAAUUCCGAGUGUAGAGGUGAAAUUCGUAGAUAUUCGGAGGAACACCAGUGGCGAAGGCGGCUCACUGGCUCGAUACUGACGCUGAGGUGCGAAAGCGUGGGGAGCGAACAGG